UAUUGCUUUAUUUUUUAUACACUACGCUACACAAUUUUUUUUAUCAAACAAUAACAUACAACCUAGCAUUAGUAAUACAAACAGAAAGCAUCUAAGAUACUACAUCUAACAAACAAGAAAGGCAUUUAACAGGCUGCAGAAUUACUGGAAGAAACUUCUCAUGUAAAAGUAUCAAUAUCAUAUAGAAAUAAUAGCAAUCUUACUUGAUCAUCUGAGUAAAAGUGGAAUUUAUAACAAAAUUACAAAAAAAUUUGAAGCAAUUAAAUCUGGAUAUGGCAAGACCUGAAUUUUCGGAAUUUUGUUUUAUUGUAAAUUUCAAUGGUUUGGAUUGUAAGUACAAGUAUUAGUACAAAUUUUCUUAUAUGAAUAAUGUGAAUAUCUUUGUAUUGCACUUUUCUUAUUUAGAAUAUGUGUUCAAAGUAGUUAUUUUGGAGUAAACAGUAUUUGAUCCAUUUUUAUGAGUCUCUUAAAUGAGCAUUUGUUUUGGUCGAAUAAUGCAAAUAUUGACUUAAAACAAGUUUUUGCUUUUUAAAAAAUCUGAAAAUCAACUUCAAAUAUAUAUCUUGCCUGGGAGUAAACUUAUUAGUUAACUAUAAAUAUUGAUACUUUCACAGUACAUCUGGUAUUAAUUUUGACAAUUACUUGAUCAUUUGCAUAUUUAGUAUUUUAAUUCAUGGUAAGUAUUGCUAUAACAAAUAACAAGAAAUUUGUCUGGAAAAAUAUUCACAUAUACUUCUCCAAUUAAAAAUUGUCAAAGUAAAAAUUUGAUUUAAGUAAAGACAAGUAGGCUAUACACCUAAUGUCAUCAAUUUUUGACUAAAAUAAGAUUUUGCAUAUAUAACUCUCCAAUGUAAUUUCUUCAAAAUAUCUUAAAAAUCAUCAAAAUAUACAUAUUUGCAAGGAAAUAAAUCGUUACAAUAAACAAAUAACCACUUUAAAAAGUGUUACUUAAUAGAAAUAAAUAGUUCACAUUUAUGCACCAAAUUUCCAUUUAUACAGAGUAAGUGGGACAUACAUAAAGCUCAUAUGUUACUUAGAAAUACACAGAUGUAUAAAUUAAAGAUAAAAAUUUGUGUUCAUAUUAAAAUAAUCAAGUUGACAUCUCAAAAGAGAAUCAGUAUUAUAUAUAUAUACAGGACACAAAUACAGAUUUAAGAUGCUUGAUCAACCUCAGAUGCAAUGUGUUCAAGAAUAAACAACAUUCACAAAGUUAGCUCAUCCUUAAAAUAUACUUUGCAGAAAUUUGUUAUUUAAAAAAAUACUUUUAGAUCAGCAAUUAUAACACCUUAAAGGUGAACUUUCUGCACAUUUUAAGUUUUCUCUACCAAAUAGUAUCACUCUUAAUACUUUUGCAUAAAAUGACAAAAAAGGAGAACUUUUUCUUGAAAGACAAACAUUUCAGUUAACAAGAAAGAAUUUGACCUCCUUUUUAAAACAGAAUACAAUAUCUUUCAUACUAUUCAAGACAUUGUUAAGUAAGUUAAACAAAACAGGUUUGGGAAAAUAAAACUAUAACAAAUGUAAAAUAUUUGUCAAAACAAAAUAUUGGUGGAAUACAUGGAUUUAUUUCCUACUCAGAAGUUAAUUAAGUUUGAAAAGAAAUAAAGGUAUAAUACCAUUAAUCAAAGGAAGACAAUUCCAACAUAACUUUAAAAAUGUGUUUUUAAAACAAAACAAAUGGAAGAAAAGCAUUGUUUUUCUGUUGCCCUACACAGUAACAAGAAGAGACUACAAUCGGUGGGAAGACUAACAGGGCUUACUCUCACCCUAUUCUUUGGUUUGAUUCUUACAAACAUACAGCUCAAGCACAAUCUAUAAUCAAAAUCUGUCAAUAUCAAACCAUACAUUGUAGUAAACAUAAUGGCUAUUCCAGUAAAUCUUAAAACUUGAUCAUUGUUUUUUUCUCUCCAUUUGGAUGGGACUGGGACUAAAUAAGUAAAAACAAAUUACUAAUAAACAAGUAAGAAAAUGAUUUUUUGUCCCAGUUUUUGCCAAUGUUUUCAAGCAUUACAUUUCUCUCAACUGUUUGAACUACUGUCUUAAAAACUUCAUUUUUAUUUUGACAAAUGUAAGGAGGCUAACACAUUAAAUCAAUAAGCAUUCUUAGAACUGGUUAGUAAUAAAGCCAAUUACGGUAUUAUUUCUACAAUCUAAAGACUACAAUGUAUGCUUUAAAACAGGUCAUCUGCUAAAAAAUACUUUUGACCAUUUCUCUACAAACAACAUUUAUCUUUUAUAUUAGCACUUAAUUAAAAAUAUCUUUAUACACAUUAAUUGUUCAUUCAUAUUAAGAAGCUUGGAGAUUCUGUACAUCAUACGUAAUUGUUCAUUUAUUUAUUAAUGAGAUUUUUAUUGUACAACAUCUAUUCACAAAAACAUUACUUACAAAUAAAAAUAAUUGAUUCCAUAGAGUUUCUCUACUUAAUAUACAUAAUUGUCUUAUUGUUGCCUAAUUACAUAUUAGAAGUAUCAAGAAACUACAAAUUGUUCUACGACAGGAGAGUAUUGCUGAUUAAGGACGGGAAGAUCUAAUAAAUCGUCAUUUUGAAAGAAAAAGCGAUAUAUAAUCAAAAGCUUACAACAGUUGACACUUAUUUGAUUUAUAAAUAUAUAUAUAAAGAUAUUUAUGUUUUUAUUAUCUUAAAAUUUAUAUUUGCAUGCUGUACAAUAGUUUUAUUGGAAUGUAGUCGGGCGCUGCAUUUUUUUUAUAAUAAGCAUUGUUAAACUUUCAAGCGCAAAGUGAUAUGUCUUAAUAUUGACAAACACUUUACACUUUUUAAUUAAAUUAAAGAAUUGAAUGUUAUGAAAAAAUCAGAUAAAUAUAACAUAAUUUAUCUAAAUCAAAUAUUACAAGUAAACAAUUCAUCAAAUCUGUCCUCUUAUUAACUUUUAUUACCACAUAUAUGUUUAAUUUGCGACUUUGAUAACCAGAACAGCUAAGCAUAAAACAAAACAACAGAACAUAAACAAAUUAGGAUAACAAUAACAAAUUAAAAAAAAAUACCUGAAUUAAGAAAAAUGAUAUGCAAAUAAUUGAGAUCAGACAAAAUAUAGUACAAAUUAAGGAUAUAGCAGCAAAAAAAAAAAAUCAAUCAUUUAACCUUUUUU
rnacentral:lncRNA from 1 species